UACGGGAGGCAGCAGGGGGAAUAUUGCACAAUGGGCGAAAGCCUGAUGCAGCUAUGCCGCGUGUAUGAAGAAGGCCUUAGGGUUGUAAAGUACUUUCAUCGGGGAGGAAAAAACAAAACUAAUAAUUUUAUUUCUUGACGUUACCCGAAAAAGAAGCACCGGCUAACUCCGUGCCAGCAGCCGCGGUAAUACGGAGGGUGCUAGCGUUAAUCAGAAUUACUGGGCGUAAAGAGCACGUAGGUGGUUUUUUUAAGUCAGAUGUGAAAUCCCUGGGCUUUAACCUAGGAACUGCAUUUUGAAACUGAAAUACUAGAGUAUCGUAGAGGGAGGUAGAAUUCUAGGUGUAGCGGUGAAAUGCGUAGAUAUCUGGAGGAAUACCUGUGGCGAAAGCGGCCUCCUAAACGAAUACUGACACUGAGGGUGCGAAAGCGUGGGGAGCAAACAGGGAUUAGAUACC
rnacentral:rRNA from 1 species